UUACGGCUACAUCACGUUGAAAAACCGGUUCACGUCCGAUAAUCGAAGUUAAGCAAUGCUGAUCCUGGUCAAUACCUAGAUGGAUGACCGCUUGGGAAUAUCAGGUGCUGUAAG